UACGGAGGGUGCGAGCGUUGUCCGGAAUCACUGGGCGUAAAGGGCGCGUAGGUGGCCUGUGGAAGUCUGCGGUGAAAGCCCGGCGCUCAACGCCGGGUCGGCCGUGGAUACUCUCGGGCUUGAGCUUACUAGAGGCAGAUGGAAUUCCGGGUGUAGCGGUGGAAUGCGUAGAGAUCCGGAAGAACACCGGUGGCGAAGGCGGUGACCUGGUCCAUUACUGACGCUGAGGCGCGACAGCGUGGGGAGCAAACAGG
rnacentral:rRNA from 1 species